rnacentral:misc_RNA from 1 species
GAGAAGAACGCAGCGAAAUGCGAUAAGUAAUGUGAAUUGCAGAAUUCAGUGAAUCAUCGAAUCUUUGAACGCACAUUGCGCCCUCUGGUAUUCCGGGGGGCAUGCCUGUUCGAGCGUCAUUAUAACCACUCAAGCUUACGCUUGGUAUUGGGGUUCGCGGUCCCGCGGCCCCUAAAAUCAGUGGCGGUGCCUGUCGGCUCUACGCGUAGUAAUACUCCUCGCGAUUGAGUCCGGUAGGUUUACUUGCCAGCAACCCCUAAUUUUUACAGGUUGACCUCGGAUCAGGUAGGGAUACCCGCUGAACUUAAGCAUAUCAAUAAGCGGAGGA